UACGGAGGGUGCAAGCGUUAUCCGGAUUCACUGGGUUUAAAGGGUGCGUAGGCGGGUAUAUAAGUCCGAGGUGAAAGCUCCGAGCUUAACUUGGAAACUGCCAUUGAUACUGUAUAUCUUGAAUGUCGUUGAGGUUAGCGGAAUGUUGCAUGUAGCGGUGAAAUGCUUAGAUAUGUUACAGAACACCAAUUGUGAAGACAGCUAACUAAGCGAUGAUUGACGCUGAGGCACGAAAGCGUGGGGAGCAAACAGG
rnacentral:rRNA from 1 species